GACGAACGCUGGCGGCGUGCCUAAUACAUGCAAGUAGAACGCUGAAGGAGGAGCUUGCUCUUCUGGAUGAGUUGCGAACGGGUGAGUAACGCGUAGGUAACCUGCCUGGUAGCGGGGGAUAACUAUUGGAAACGAUAGCUAAUACCGCAUAAGAGUAGAUGUUGCAUGACAUUUGCUUAAAAGGUGCAAUUGCAUCACUACCAGAUGGACCUGCGUUGUAUUAGCUAGUUGGUGGGGUAACGGCUCACCAAGGCGACGAUACAUAGCCGACCUGAGAGGGUGAUCGGCCACACUGGGACUGAGACACGGCCCAGACUCCUACGGGAGGCAGCAGUAGGGAAUCUUCGGCAAUGGACGGAAGUCUGACCGAGCAACGCCGCGUGAGUGAAGAAGGUUUUCGGAUCGUAAAGCUCUGUUGUAAGAGAAGAACGAGUGUGAGAGUGGAAAGUGCACACUGUGACGGUAUCGUACCAGAAAGGGACGGCUAACUACGU
rnacentral:rRNA from 1 species